rnacentral:lncRNA from 1 species
UGCUGUCUAUAAUGGACACAAUAGCUAUAAUAAUCGAAUCUCAGUUGGCGUCGUGUGUUGGUGGUAUAUGGCACGCUUAUCAAAGCCGAUCGGCAGAGGACUUAUUGCGAUCUUCGUUAAAAAAAUAUCCUUUUUCCUCAAGUUUACGUGAUUAUAGAGUAAAAAAGUUAAUGUGGUCGUAGAGUAAUCGUUGACAAAGAAAACAACAGAAUUAAUAAAUGACUAAUUCCUUUAAAAGGCAUAAGUCCAAACCUCACUAUCUUCAAUCAAUAUUAGUGUCUGGCUGCAUUGUAACAAAAUCACAGUUUUUUUAUCUUGUCACAUACUGGAAAAACCACUUCUUUUUCUGUUAAUUAUAUUAACGCCGAGUUCUUCAUCCUCCCUAUAAUUAGACCAAAAUAGACAGACACAGUAAGUUGCUUCGGACUUGGGUUUACCCUCUUAUGUUGACACUGAAACAUGUAAGAAUUAGAAAACCAACGAAAACGAUGACGUUUCUCUGCCCUCACUUUAUCUAUUUUACAAGAAAAAACCAGCUAGUAUUUCCCCUUUUCACCUUUUUACUUCCGCAAAGUCACUGUAAGAAUUAAACACUC